GACGAAGGGGGCUAGCGUUGUUCGGAAUUACUGGGCGUAAAGCGCGUGUAGGCGGUUAUCCAAGUCGGGUGUGAGAGCCUUGAGCUCAACUCAAGAAAUGCACUCGGUACUGGGUGACUAGAGGACCGGAGAGGAUAGUGGAAUUCCCAGUGUAGUGGUGAAAUACGUAGAGAUUGGGAAGAACACCAGUGGCGAAGGCGGCUAUCUGGACGGUUUCUGACGCUAAGACGCGAAAGCGUGGGGAGCAAACAGG
rnacentral:rRNA from 1 species